CUCAUAUCAUCCACCUUGGGUUGCCGAAUCAAGAAUCCUGAAUUGAAAAGAAAACAAGAAUAAUAGCAGGAGAAGGCUCACACCCUCUACUUUAAAUUUUGACUUCUGUUGCUUUAUGAGAACGUCAAUGAAUCUGAGCAUGGUAAAAUGGCCUUGCCUUUGAUUUGCCAAGAUGUAAGGGCUAAUCACCAACAAGAAAUGCACAAAGCUUACAGUUUAAGAGCAUGUGUUUGAAGAGCAUGCGUUUGUAUUUGAGCGGACCUGAGUUCAAGUUUUGGCUCUGGCAUUAGUAGCUCCAUAACCUCGGAAAAGCCUCUAACCUCUCUGUGUUCUACAAAAUGAGAAUUAUCACUCUAACUACCUUGUAAGGUUGUGAUGAAGAUGAAAGACGACAACACGUUAAAGUGGUCAACACGGUACCCAGUAUGUUGACCAUGUUUAAUCAAUUUAGCUAUGAUUACUGUUUAUUAUUGCCAUUCUUCUCUUAGACCUUCUAAAGUUAAGGUAAAGGGCUCUGAAGUCCCUAUGCUGUAGCUGCUCCUAAACUGAAAAUGCCCUCAUCCUCUGACCCUCCUUGGUUAACAAUAUCUUGAGCAGUGCAUCACAACUUCGGUAAAAGGUUCUGAUUUUAAAGUUUAUAAAUUUAGAGAAUGUUGAUAUUUACUAUGCUGUAUUUUUUACUGUGUACUAUUUUAGUUUUUACUAAUAAAAUAGAAACCUAAACUCAGACAACUGCUUUAUUCUUGCAUCUAAUCUGACCAUAUAUUGUAGAAGCAAUUCUUUAUAAUGGGACUUAGGUGAGAGCUGUCAAUACAUCAGUUUGGCC
rnacentral:lncRNA from 10 species